GAUGAAGAACGUAGCGAAAUGCGAUAAGUAAUGUGAAUUGCAGAAUUCAGUGAGUCAUCGAAUCUUUGAACGCACAUUGCGCCCUUUGGUAUUCCGAAGGGCAUGCCUGUUCGAGCGUCAUUAUCACCCCUCAAGCCCUCGGCUUGGUGUUGGACGGUUUGGUGGAGGCCCCCUCGGGGGCUCCUGCCCCUCCCAAAGACAAUGACGGCGGCCUCGUUGGACCCCCGGUACACUGAGUUCUUCACGGGACACGUAUCGGACACAUGGGUUUACGGGACACGGUCUGCCUCCCCUCAGGGAGAAUCUUUCUAAGGUUGACCUCGGAUCAGGUAGGGAUACCCGCUGAACUUAAGCAUAUCAAUAAGCGGAGGA
rnacentral:misc_RNA from 1 species